rnacentral:rRNA from 1 species
UUCGGAUUGUAGUCUGCAACCCGACUACAUGAAGUUGGAAUCGCUAGUAAUCGCGGAUCAGAAUGCCGCGGUGAAUACGUUCCCGGGUCUUGUACACACCGCCCGUCACACCAUGGGAGUCGGAAAUGCCCGAAGUCUGUGACCCAACCUUAGGGAGGGAGCAGCCGAAGGCAGGUCGGAUGACUGGGGUGAAGUCGUAACAAGGUAAC